AUGUCAUAUGGGUUUCCGACAAGAGUGAAAACCUAUGGAAUUUAUGAUGUGAAUGGAUAUAGGUUUCGCUCAGAGAUCUAUGAGAAGACUAGAGCAGAUUUGGGUUCAUGUAAUAUAGGAGUUUGUGUCACGAGCUUUGAUGAGGAUGAUAAUCCCGUUGAGUAUUUUAGUAUUAUCGAGGACAUUCUACAGAUCUCAUGGGAGGGCACUAUUGAACUUGAGUUGGCUAUAUUCAAAUGUCGCUGGUUUGAUCCAACUUCUGAGGGUACUAAGCGUACAGACAAUAUAGGGUUGGUAGAGGUCAUGCAUAGCUCAAGAAUGGCAAACUUUGAUCCAUUUGUGCUGGCUAGUCAGGUUAAAUUAGUGUAUUAUCUGUCAUAUGCGUGCCAAAGCCCUGCAUAUGGGAUAGACAAUAAAGUGAGAAUACUCUUUUCUUUUUCCUAUUUCACAAAACAGAUGGGAUAA
rnacentral:rRNA from 1 species